rnacentral:rRNA from 1 species
UACGUAGGUGGCAAGCGUUGUCCGGAGUUAUUGGGCGUAAAGCGCGCGUAGGCGGCCCACUAAGUCCGACGUGAAAUCCCCAGGCUUAACUUGGGAACUGCGUCGGAUACUGGUGGGCUUGAAUCCGGGAGAGGGAUGCGGAAUUCCAGGUGUAGCGGUGAAAUGCGUAGAUAUCUGGAGGAACACCGGUGGCGAAGGCGGCAUCCUGGACCGGCAUUGACGCUGAGUGAGCGAAAGCCAGGGGAGCAAACGGG